rnacentral:lncRNA from 1 species
UCACACUACACUGAGCCAUCAAAAUUGUCCGUAACUUACAUUGUUACUCAUUAAAAAGGAAGUACAGAGAACAGAUUACUGUAUAGCAGGUAUCAGACCCCAGCUCGACUGCCCGUCAGAUGAUGCCCACACAUGUGUCAUGUGAGACAGCUCCUUGCCAGUGCAGAUCUGCUCAACAACCACCACCGCAUCCCCACAUCCCCGUACCUCUCCGAUGGACCACAGCUGUUUCUCCACCACACAGGACAUGUCAGCAGCUGACGAGGAAGAGCCUGAGCACUCUUUGGCGGGUGGCAUGGACAGCGUGUCUGAGAGCACGGGCAGCAUCCUCAGCAAGCUUGACUGGAAAGCCAUCGAAGACAUGGUGGCCAGCGUGGAGGAAAAAAACCUGUCUGUCCACUGGGCCUUGGACCAAUAGGACCUGCAUAGCGUU